CCUGAUGUCCGAAUGUUCCACUGGUCACCAUCGCCGGGGCCGCGUAGCUGCUUGAGUUGACAUACAUCAACGGCAUACCAGCAAAAUUAAUAUUGGCAAUUAAUUACCAAUAAUAAAUACAGAUUAAUAAUUAAGUAUCAAGAUAGAUCAAAGAAUGUACAAACAAUUAAGAACGGAAAAUGUCAAAACGGAUCUUAGUGCUUUCAUAAUAUUCUAAAGUGUGAAUCUAAUGAUUUUUUUUAGUUCAAAUAAACCGCGUGCCGCAUAUCGCUGGUUUCAACGCAGCUCUAAACCGAAUAGUACUAUUAAUAGUAAUAUCAAUUAAAUUGUCAAUCUUGUAAUGGCAAUCCAAUAAAUCGAUGUUCGUAUAUCUAUUAAA